rnacentral:rRNA from 1 species
UACGAAAGGGGCUAGCGUUGUUCGGAUUUACUGGGCGUAAAGCGCACGUAGGCGGAUCGUUAAGUCGGGGGUGAAAUCCUGGAGCUCAACUCCAGAACUGCCUUCGAUACUGGCGAUCUUGAGUCCGGAAGAGGUGAGUGGAACUCCUAGUGUAGAGGUGGAAUUCGUAGAUAUUAGGAAGAACACCGGUGGCGAAGGCGGCUCACUGGUCCGGUACUGACGCUGAGGUGCGAAAGCGUGGGGAGCAAACAGG